rnacentral:ncRNA from 1 species
GGAUUGUGCGGCUUAAUUUGACUCAACGCGGGGUAAUUUACCAGAUAUAACAUGAUAUAAUAUUUUAUCAUGAUAGUGGUGCAUGGCCGUUUCCAAUGGAUGCUGUGAAGUAAUGAUUAAUUUCAACAAGAUGUGAGACCCUCAUUUAGACAGAUGUAGUGAAUACAUAUGAAGGAGAGGAUUAACACGUUGGGGCCGGCGUGAGCCACCGGUGGUUCACACUAAAC